UACGGGGGGGGCAAGCGUUGUUCGGAAUUACUGGGCGUAAAGGGCGCGUAGGCGGCCUGCUAAGUCGGAUGUGAAAUCCCUCGGCUCAACCGAGGAACUGCAUCCGAUACUGGCGGGCUUGAAUCCGGGAGAGGGAUGUGGAAUUCCAGGUGUAGCGGUGAAAUGCGUAGAUAUCUGGAGGAACAUCGGUGGCGAAGGCGGCAUCCUGGACCGGUAUUGACGCUGAGGCGCGAAAGCCAGGGGAGCAAACGGG
rnacentral:rRNA from 1 species